GAUGAAGAACGUAGCGAAAUGCGAUAAGUAAUGUGAAUUGUAGAAUUCAGUGAAUCAUCGAAUCUUUGAACGCACAUUGCGCCCGCCAGUAUUCUGGCGGGCAUGCCUGUCUGAGCGUCAUUUCAACCCUCAUGCCCCUAGGGCGUGGUGUUGGGGAUCGGCCAAAGCCCGCGAGGGACGGCCGGCCCCUAAAUCUAGUGGCGGACCCGUCGUGGCCUCCUCUGCGAAGUAGUGAUAUUCCGCAUCGGAGAGCGAUGAGCCCCUGCCGUUAAACCCCCAACUUUCCAAGGUUGACCUCAGAUCAGGUAGGAAUACCCGCUGAACUUAAGCAUAUCAAUAAGCGGAGGA
rnacentral:misc_RNA from 1 species